rnacentral:rRNA from 1 species
UGCAGUCGAACGAUGAAGCCUUCGGGUGGAUUAGUGGCGAACGGGUGAGUAACACGUGGGAAAUCUGCCCUGCACUCUGGGACAAGCCUUGGAAACGAGGUCUAAUACCGGAUAUUACCUGUCCUCGCAUGGGGAUGGGUGGAAAGCUCCGGCGGUGCAGGAUGAUCCCGCGGCCUAUCAGCUUGUUGGUGGGGUAAUGGCCUACCAAGGCGACGACGGGUAGCCGGCCUGAGAGGGCGACCGGCCACACUGGGACUGAGACACGGCCCAGACUCCUACGGGAGGCAGCAGUGGGGAAUAUUGCACAAUGGGCGAAAGCCUGAUGCAGCGACGCCGCGUGAGGGAUGAAGGCCUUCGGGUCGUAAACCUCUUUCAGCAGGGAAGAAGCGCAAGUGACGGUACCUGCAGAAGAAGCACCGGCUAACUACGUGCCAGCAGCCGCGGUAAUACGUAGGGUGCGAGCGUUGUCCGGAAUUAUUGGGCGUAAAGAGCUCGUAGGCGGCUUGUCGCGUCGGAUGUGAAAGCCCGGGGCUUAACCCCGGGUCUGCAUUCGAUACGGGCAGGCUAGAGUGUGGUAGGGGAGAUCGGAAUUCCUGGUGUAGCGGUGAAAUGCGCAGAUAUCAGGAGGAACACCGGUGGCGAAGGCGGAUCUCUGGGCCAUUACUGACGCUGAGGAGCGAAAGCGUGGGGAGCGAACAGGAUUAGAUACCCUGGUAGUCCACGCCGUAAACGGUGGGAACUAGGUGUUGGCGACAUUCCACGUCGUCGGUGCCGCAGCUAACGCAUUAAGUUCCCCGCCUGGGGAGUACGGCCGCAAGGCUAAAACUCAAAGGAAUUGACGGGGGCCCGCACAAGCAGCGGAGCAUGUGGCUUAAUUCGACGCAACGCGAAGAACCUUACCAAGGCUUGACAUAUACCGGAAACGGCUAGAGAUAGUCGCCCCCUUGUGGUCGGUAUACAGGUGGUGCAUGGUUGUCGUCAGCUCGUGUCGUGAGAUGUUGGGUUAAGUCCCGCAACGAGCGCAACCCUUGUUCUGUGUUGCCAGCAUGCCUUUCGGGGUGAUGGGGACUCACAGGAGACUGCCGGGGUCAACUCGGAGGAAGGUGGGGACGACGUCAAAUCAUCAUGCCCCUUAUGUCUUGGGCUGCACACGUGCUACAAUGGUCGGUACAAAGGGCUGCGAUGCCGCGAGGCGGAGCGAAUCCCAAAAAGCCGGCCUCAGUUCGGAUUGGGGUCUGCAACUCGACCCCA